CAGCUCCUGGGGGUGUCAGGCCUUCCUCAGUGGGGUCUUAUUACAUUUGCAGCACAGUUAGCACCCUUGCCAGCCUCCAGGCAGCCCAUAGUAAACACUGCAGGGCUAAUGCUGGCUGGCGCCCACACUGGAAAGAAAAGGGUAAUGCAAUCACCGCCAGCCACACCCCGAGGAGUAACUCCAUCAGCCAGACAGCUCCAAGGGCUCCUCAAGACAGGCUCAGUGCUCAGCAUCCUGUGUGCAGCAGCAUGCUCCAGGAUGGGAUGUCAUCUGGGACUAAAUUAAGAAGAGACAAAGUGAGCUGAGCAGUAGCACCCUUCCUCUGCUUCCUGGCUGCAGACGCAACGUGACCAGCUGCCAUGCCCCUGCCUCCACGCCUUCCCGCCACGAGAGACUGUGCACCCUCCAACCGUGAGCCACAAGCCUCCCUUCUUUAAGCUGUCACAGCAAUGACAAUAACAAACACAAGGAGGUAUAAGACACCGAGUGGGGGCUGGCUACAACAGCAGGCCCUGACUCCGGUGACACCGAGGCAGCAAUGAGGUGUCAUGGGGGCAGGAACUCUGGGUCAAAGCAGCUAGGAGCCUCUGGCUUCUCAAUGGCAUGGCAGAGACAGGAGAGGAU
rnacentral:lncRNA from 1 species